AUGGCGCCGGGCUGGGCGAGCAGCCGGUGCAUCUCGAAGACUGAGUUGACGGAGAUUACCUCGGGCUCCUCGUUCGAGUCCUCCGGCUGCAGCAUGAACGGCUCCAGGUCCGCCAGCGUGGCGGCGCCGAGGCCGCGGUACUGGAAGUCGACGCGGAUGGUGUACGCGAACUGGGCGAGCUUCCAGCCCAUCUGCUGCAAGGCGUCGGUCUCGUCCGGCUGCGGGGGGCCGACGCCGGUGAGGCGGAACGAGGGGGUGCCGCCGGGACGGAGGGCUAGGGCCUGGAGAAGGGCGGGCCACUGCAUCCCCUGCUUGAAGGUGGUGGACCGGCGCGCCGUGGCCAAGAAGCACAAGCUGGAGCGGGCGGCCGCCGAGAAGCGCAUCCUGCGGCUGCUCGACCACCCGUUCCUCCCCACGCUCUUCGCCGACUUCGACGCCGCCCCGCGCUUCUCCUGCGUUGUCGUGGAGUUCUGCCCCGGCGGCGACCUCCACUCCCUCCGCCACCGCAUGCCCUCCCGCCACUUCCCGCUCUCCUCCGCCCGGUUCUACGCGGCCGAGGUGCUCCUGGCGCUCUAG
rnacentral:rRNA from 1 species